AUUAAACGCUGGCGGCAUGCUUUACACAUGCAAGUCGAACGGUAACAGGUCUUCGGAUGCUGACGAGUGGCGAACGGGUGAGUAAUGCAUCGGAACGUGCCCAGUCGUGGGGGAUAACGCAGCGAAAGCUGCGCUAAUACCGCAUACGAUCUAUGGAUGAAAGCGGGGGACCGUAAGGCCUCGCGCGAUUGGAGCGGCCGAUGUCAGAUUAGGUAGUUGGUGGGGUAAAGGCCCACCAAGCCAACGAUCUGUAGCUGGCCUGAGAGGACGACCAGCCACAAUGGGACUGAGACACGGCCCAGACUCCUACGGGAGGCAGCAGUGGGGAAUUUUGGACAAUGGGCGCAAGCCUGAUCCAGCAAUGCCGCGUGCAGGAAGAAGGCCUUCGGGUUGUAAACUGCUUUUGUACGGAACGAAACGGCUCUCUCUAAUACAGAGGGCUAAUGACGGUACCGUAAGAAUAAGCACCGGCUAACUACGUGCCAGCAGCCGCAGUAA
rnacentral:rRNA from 1 species